rnacentral:rRNA from 1 species
UUCAGUAGGGUUUCACUUUUUAAAAAACCGGCCUCUUCUAAGCAGGGUCGGGCCUGGUUAGUACUUGGAUGGGAGACCGCCUGGGAAUGCCGGGUGCUGUAGGCU